GACAGAGGGUGCAAACGUUGUUCGGAAUUACUGGGCGUAAAGCGUGUGUAGGCGGCUUUGCAAGUCGGAUGUGAAAGCCCCGGGCUCAACCCGGGAAGUGCACUCGAUACUGCAGAGCUUGAGUGUCGGAGAGGUUGGUGGAAUUCUCGGUGUAGAGGUGAAAUUCGUAGAUAUCGAGAGGAACACCGGCGGCGAAGGCGGCCAACUGGACGAACACUGACGCUGAGGUGCGAAAGCGUGGGGAGCAAACAGG
rnacentral:rRNA from 1 species